rnacentral:rRNA from 1 species
AGAGUUUGAUCCUGGCUCAGAACGAACGCUGGCGGCAGGCUUAACACAUGCAAGUCGAACGGUUGUAGCAAUACAGCAGUGGCAGACGGGUGAGUAACACGUGGGAACCUUCCUAGGGGUACGGAACAACUCAGGGAAACUUGAGCUAAUACCGUAUACGUCCGUGAGGAGAAAGAUUUAUCGCCCUUAGACGGGCCCGCGUCGGAUUAGCUAGUUGGUGGGGUAACGGCCUACCAAGGCGACGAUCCGUAGCUGAUCUUAGAGGAUGAUCAGCCACACUGGGACUGAGACACGGCCCAGACUCCUACGGGAGGCAGCAGUGGGGAAUCUUGGACAAUGGGCGCAAGCCUGAUCCAGCCAUGCCGCGUGAGUGAAGAAGGUCUUCGGAUUGUAAAGCUCUUUUACCAGGGACGAUAAUGACGGUACCUGGAGAAUAAGCCCCGGCAAACUUCGUGCCAGCAGCCGCGGUAAUACGAAGGGGGCUAGCGUUGUUCGGAAUUACUGGGCGUAAAGCGCACGUAGGC